rnacentral:misc_RNA from 1 species
GGAACCUUGUUGCCUACCCAACCAAUUAUUUAAAUGGACCCGAGGCUUCCUAUUGGGGUUUUAUGCUACAAACCAGAGGUGAAUUUGGUGAGGUUAGCUCAGUUUUCAUAGGUCUUACUCCAACAGGCCAACUCUUUCGGAAUGCGUCUAAUGGUUUUCGUUUCCAACUCAAUACCUUAGCGAAUACCUCUAAUCAAUCACCAACCAACAGAGCAGCAGCAAUUUAUCGUGCAACUCUUGAUCCUGAUGGGAUUUUUAGGCUUUAUACACAUAAGUUUAACAACUCAAGCUUGGAAAUCAAUUGGUCAGCGCUGGAGAAUCAAUGCAAAGCCAGGGGAUUCUGUGGUUUAAACAGUUAUUGUACUGCAAAAAAUGGCAGCAGCAUAGGCGAUUGUUCUUGUUUUCCGGGAUUUUCAUAUGUCAACCGUGAAAUGAAAUUCCAAGGCUGCUAUCGGGGAUUCAUAUACGAAGAGUCUUGUGGAAGCAGCAGAGACUCAACAAUGGCCUACAAUGUCACGACGAUUCAACACUUGAAAGUUGGAGGAUAUCCAUUUUCU